rnacentral:rRNA from 1 species
UACGGAGGGUGCAAGCGUUAUCCGGAUUCACUGGGUUUAAAGGGAGCGUAGGAGGGCAGGUAAGUCAGUGGUGAAAUCUUCGAGCUUAACUCGGAAACUGCCGUUGAUACUAUCUGUCUUGAAUAUUGUGGAGGUGAGCGGAAUAUGUCAUGUAGCGGUGAAAUGCUUAGAUAUGACAUAGAACACCAAUUGCGAAGGCAGCUCGCUACACAUAUAUUGACUCUGAGGCUCGAAAGCGUGGGGAUCAAACAGG